GCUUUCUCCCCCUCUGGUAAAUAGGGUUCAUAGCAGGUUGGUAAAACGUAAACAUGUAUAAGAAGGCAUGCCUCCUGUCACUAUGAUGCUGAAAAGCAGAAAUGUGUAAUCAGCAAGGACAAUAAAAAUUCUGUCUCUCCCCUGAUGACACUGGAAAAUAAAAGAUAGCAAAAAAAAAAAAAAAAAAAAAAAAAAAAAAAAGCAAAAGCAUGAAUGAGGAUUCUGGUGUAGGGUCCUUCUUUUGCAGAGGACAAUACGUAGUACUUAAUGUGCAAGGCACUAUCUUUUAAUAGCUAUAGGACAUGUUACUAGUAUCCUGCUUUCUCAGCUGGAGAAAUAGGAUUAGUGGCCUAAGAGAGAAGAGCUUAAACUGAUUAGUCAAGUGGGCAGUCCCAGGGUGAAUAAGCAGGAAAAAGGAACAGCCCAGUGUUCUGGGUCCUGCAGAGUAAGAACCUGGAGGGAUCCAAGGAUGGUCCAGGACUCCAGACUGCAAUUUACUCCAAGAGGGGUUUUAACCUUCCAUUUUCAAGAUGGGCUCCAAAUCAGAGGCCAGACUUGGGUUGGCUUGAACACCAUUUAUGUAUUUAGACUGCAGAAAGGAGUUUCAGAAUGGCCACCGUGUAUUUAUUCAUUCACUUAAACCACAGUGUCUAUGAAGCAAGCAUAUCAGGUGUUGUGUAUACAGGGAUACAGAACCAGAAGGCUGGGAACAGAUGCAAGGAACAGAAUUAUUCUGCUUAAUAAGAACCCUAAAUGACAAAGAUCCAAUUUCUUAAAUCUGAGUCUCAAUUAAAUGGGGGAGGAAGGGACCUUCUAGAUCAUCAUGGACCUACUUUAUCUGGAGGAAAACACAAAAAAAGCCCACUAUGAAGUCCAAAGUUGUGUGCUGCCUGAAGAACACAUUUAGUAAGAGACGGUGCUGAGGUCUACAACCCUAGCCAAGAGCUCCUCCCAUAAAACAGAAAACACAAGUUUUAAAGAACCUAAUGCCCAACAGAUAAAUUUUCAAGAUGGAAUAUAGGACAUGUUCACUGGUAAUCAUGGUAAAGUACUAAGGGGCUGAUCCCAAAAGUUACAAGAGAAAGCAAACUCCCUUUCUGAAUCAAAUGACCCGGUUCUACCUGUUGUGGAAAGGACAGACACCGAUUGUAGAAUUGAGCAGGCAGCCCAAAUAGGUUACCGAAAGCAAUUAUAAAAAUUACAGUAGAGAUUAUGAUCACAGCAAGCCAUCAAAAAUGGUUAAGCUUCACCAAAAUGUGCGGAAAGACCUGCCUGCACUGUACUUAAUGGAAAGGAUUUCCAAUGUUAAAUCUAGCACUUAUCUCUUUUAACCAGGGGGUUUUAUUAGUUUAAUGCAAUCCUAUCUACCCAGAUGUUUAAUAGAUUUCUCGAGCACGUGGAAUAAAAACAAAACUAUCUUUGCUGCAACCAGGUAAAGCUGGUAGACCAUGAACAAUGAUCUUCGACUGAGACGUCUAACAUAUUAAAACAGAUUACUGCAGGGCCCUGAGAGUUAUUUCUGAAAUAGGAAGUGGCUGGAUAAAACAAUUUCCUCUCAGAAAACUCAAGAACAUCCCUCAUGUACCAUUCUCAACCAUUUCCCUCCUCCCCCAACUCCUAAAACACAACUCAGGAAACACCACCACCACCCCCAGAGAAGCUUCAAGAUGCUCUUUUCUUUCCUGACAUUCUUCCCCUUUCAUCUUCCCUACGGCUAGCCACGGAAACUACCACUUUGGUAGAACUAUUUGAACAACACUGCAGCAGAGAUGCCUGGGCUGUGUGCCUAACACAAGCCCCGCUCUGAGAAUUCCAUCUCCCCCACAAGUACAGGCCUCGGGGAGGGGCCAAGUUCACCCCCCCCCCACAAAAGAAGCCGUGGGAAGUAACUGGUGAUAAAGGAACGGGGGUCAUGCCGGACCCCCGUCCCUUGCUCUAAGCUGUACGGCCCUGGGAGUCUGUUUACAGCCUCUGGAGACAACCCCCAGACACUGGGAGCUCACUUGAGGCCUCUAAGCCACACUUACUCUCCAGGGUCCUUCUGAAUGGGCAGAAUUCACCAGACCAUAGUGGGCACCUGACCAUUUGGGGUCCAGCUCUUUCUCCCAGGGAUUCCAAUGGAAAUCUGGGUCUGUCAGCAUUUGGACUUGGGCACUGGUACCCUCGGGACCUGAUGUAAGGCAUUUUAGCAUCUGUAAGCACAGAAGUAGAGGAAGUCCACUUACUACCCUCAGGGAUGAAGCCAAUCCAGGGAGGAAGUGGCAGCCAGUCUUGGCUCCUGCUUCUAAGAAUUUAACUAGAAUACUAACUAGGACUUAAAAACAUGAAAUCCAAAACUUCUAGUAAUUUUUUAACCCCUGAGUAGCUUAGAAGACUACUUCUUUAGCAACACAUACUGAAAUUUAUUUCCAAUGUCAAGGCAUUUUCCAGUUCUCCAAAGCCCUUUUCUCAAGCCCAUACGUGGAAGAGGAAAUGUUAAGUAUCAACAGAAUCAUGCUCCUUGCCUUAAGUGAGGAGCCAGGAAAAUCUGAGAAUCCUGGGUGCAGGGUUUUACUUUCAAAUCCUCAAAUUCGGGACAUCUGAGGCUUAAUCUACAGACACUGAGGGGGAAGCUCCUUCAGGCUCAGAAGCGAGGGGCACCCAACAGGUGCUAGAGUCCAGGUAACACAGAUACUGGCAUCCCUACCUCUGCCCGUUUGUUGGCCCGCAUCCCUCCACAGCCUUGGGGGGGGGGGGGGGGAGAUAAAAAUCACAAUUGUGCUGGCAAUUCCAUGGUGUUCCUGGCCAACGACUCUCCCCGUUCACCCGUCACUGCUGAUCUACCUGCCCCCACCCCCUCAAGCCCUGUACCAGGCUCAGUCCCAGGCAGGGCCAAGUCCAGGGCUGAUUGGGACAGACUGUCCACCUCCGUGUCUUCCAAACGUUUACACUUUGGUAAGCGAGCCAACGGACACACCCACAACGUGUUGCAGUCCGAUCAGGUGAGAAUCGAAGAGCAUGUGGUCUGUUGCAGGCCUGCAGAGAAAGGAAGCCAUGGGCUCCACACUGGGGGGGAAGAGAAGGAACCACAACAGGUCUCUGGGAACUUUCUCAAGGAUGCUCAUCUAAACCCCGUGACUAUCCGUGAACCGGCCCCCAGCACAAGCACUCAGCCUUCCAAAAGGAUGCCUUUUGCCCUGAUGGCGCAGAAGCAAGGGCAGGAAGAUCGCUGGCACCUGAGCACGAUUCAAGGCAGCAGUUACCGUAUUCUGGCACCAGGCACUACCUCCAUCUCACCAAGAAACCCCAGGACCUACUGCUUAAGGCCAGUUUCAUAUUUAAGAAGGUCUUGAAACACUAGAGACUCCAUGUUGAUAUUCGAUUAGACAUACAAAGCACUUUGGCUGCCCUCCAAGGGUGAUGGUGGUCCUGUCCCCUCUUUCCAUGGGACACCUUUUUUACUGCAAAGACAGCUACCAACUAUGGUUACUCAGACUCAGGUAUUUGCCAAGACUUUCUUGAAAAUGAACCUGCCACUUCAUGGAAAAUAACUGCGUUUUUAUUGCCAAUGAGAAAAUUCAAGCUUUCGAGUGAAAAAACAGAAUUUUAGAAAAUUUAUCUUCCAUGAGCUUGACAGCCCUAAUAAAGGUGUUUAUGAGAUUGAUGGUGA